rnacentral:piRNA from 1 species
GAGAGUGGGAUAACUUCCUGAGGGUC